rnacentral:rRNA from 1 species
UAGAGCACUGUUUCGGCUAGGGGGCCAUCCCGGCUUACCAACCCGAUGCAAACUGCGAAUACCGGAGAAUGUUAUCACGGGAGACACACGGCGGGUGCUAACGUCCGUCGUGAAGAGGGAAACAACCCAGACCGCCAGCUAAGGUCCCAAAGUCAUGGUUAAGUGGGAAACGAUGUGGGAAGGCCCAGACAGCCAGGAUGUUGGCUUAGAAGCAGCCAUCAUUUAAAGAAAGCGUAAUAGCUCACUGGUCGAGUCGGCCUGCGCGGAAGAUGUAACGGGGCUAAACCAUGCACCGAAGCUGCGGCAGCGACACUGUGUGUUGUUGGGUAGGGGAGCGUUCUGUAAGCCUGUGAAGGUGUGUCGUGAGGCAUGCUGGAGGUAUCAGAAGUGCGAAUGCU